rnacentral:lncRNA from 1 species
GAUAAUUGUUAUUUUUUACAUAACUUCAACUUAUUAAUGUAUUAUUGAUAAAAAAAAAUAAAAAAAAACUAUUUUUUGUGAUAAUUUAUUAAAUUUUGAGAUUCCAUUUAGUCUAAAAGAGAAAUAUUCAUCUUUUGAAAGCAAAAGGAUUGCAUGUAUUUAUUUCCAAAUUGCGAAUAUGACAAAAACUUUUAUAGCUUUGAUGUAGACAAUCAUCAAGAAUAAUUUCAAAAUGAGUUUCAAAAUAUAGCAUGGACAUCAUGAGAAAAAAUGAUCUGAAUUAGAUCCAAACUUGAUGGUGAGAUACAUAUAAUUAUGAAAAACAAAGAAGAGCAUUGAUACUUCAAGAGGUUUAGAGGCAUCAAAAUAGGACUGCCUCAUAUUGAAUGCUAAAAUACUAAAAUGGAUUGCCUUUUCAUAA